AUUGAACGCUGGCGGCAUGCCUUACACAUGCAAGUCGAACGGUAACAGGUCUUCGGAUGCUGACGAGUGGCGAGCGGGUGAGUAAUACAUCGGAACGUGCCUAGUAGUGGGGGAUAACUACUCGAAAGAGUGGCUAAUACCGCAUGAGCUCUACGGAUGAAAGCAGGGGAUCGCAAGACCUUGUGCUACUAGAGCGGCCGAUGGCAGAUUAGGUAGUUGGUGGGAUAAAAGCUUACCAAGCCGACGAUCUGUAGCUGGUCUGAGAGGACGAUCAGCCACACUGGGACUGAGACACGGCCCAGACUCCUACGGGAGGCAGCAGUGGGGAAUUUUGGACAAUGGGCGAAAGCCUGAUCCAGCAAUGCCGCGUGCAGGAUGAAGGCCUUCGGGUUGUAAACUGCUUUUGUACGGAACGAAAAGCCCCGGGUUAAUACCCUGGGGUCAUGACGGUACCGUAAGAAUAAGCACCGGCUAACUACGUGCCAGCAGCCGCCGUAA
rnacentral:rRNA from 1 species